rnacentral:lncRNA from 10 species
AUUAUUAUUGCUUGUUUAUUUAUUUAAGUUCCCUAUAGAUUCUGGAUAUUAGUCCUUCGUUGGAUGCAUAGUUUGCGAAUAUCUUCUCCCAUUCUGCAGGUUAUCUGUUUGCUUUGUUGAUAGUUCAUUUGGUUGUGCAGAAGCUCUUCAGUUUAAGUAGGUCCCACUUGUCUAUUUUUGGUUUUGUGGCAUUUGCUUUUAGGAACUUAGCCAAAACUUCUUUGCCAAGGCUGAUGUCAAAAAGAAUUUUUCCUUCACAGGAGGAGUCAUCACCUUUAAAGUUCAACUAUUGUACCAUUGACUAUCAUAUUGUUUUAACUAAGACAAUUUUGCAUAAAAUAAAUGAUUGAG